UACGUAGGGUGCGAGCGUUGUCCGGAAUUACUGGGCGUAAAGAGCUCGUAGGUGGUUUGUCGCGUUGUCCGUGAAAAACUCACAACUCAAUUGUGGGCGUGCGGGCGAUACGGGCAGACUGGAGUACUGCAGGGGAGACUGGAAUUCCCGGUGUAGUGGUGAAAUGCGUAGAGAUCAGGAGGAACACCAGUGGCGAAGGCGGCCUUCUGGACAGUGACUGACGCUGAGACGCGAAAGCGUGGGGAGCAAACAGG
rnacentral:rRNA from 1 species